rnacentral:rRNA from 1 species
UACGUAGGGGGCGAGCGUUGUCCGGAAUUAUUGGGCGUAAAGAGCGUGUAGGCGGUUCGGUAAGUCUGCCGUGAAAACCUGGGGCUCAACCCCGGGCGUGCGGUGGAUACUGCCGGGCUAGAGGGUGGUAGAGGCGAGUGGAAUUCCCGGUGUAGCGGUGAAAUGCGCAGAUAUCGAGAGGAACACCAGUGGCGAAGGCGACUCUUUGGCCUGUAACUGACGCUGAGGCGCGAAAGUGUGGGGAGCAAACAGG